rnacentral:rRNA from 1 species
GAUGAACGCUGGCGGCAUGCCUAAUACAUGCAAGUCGAGCGAACAGACGAGGAGCUUGCUCCUCUGACGUUAGCGGCGGACGGGUGAGUAACACGUGGAUAACCUACCUAUAAGACUGGGAUAACUUCGGGAAACCGGAGCUAAUACCGGAUAAUAUAUUGAACCGCAUGGUUCAAUAGUGAAAGACGGUUUUGCUGUCACUUAUAGAUGGAUCCGCGCCGCAUUAGCUAGUUGGUAAGGUAACGGCUUACCAAGGCAACGAUGCGUAGCCGACCUGAGAGGGUGAUCGGCCACACUGGAACUGAGACACGGUCCAGACUCCUACGGGAGGCAGCAGUAGAGAAUCUUCCGCAAUGGGCGAAAGCCUGACGGAGCAACGCCGCGUGAGUGAUGAAGGUCUUCGGAUCGUAAAACUCUGUUAUUAGGGAAGAACAAAUGUGUAAGUAACUAUGCACGUCUUGACGGUACCUAAUCAGAAAGCCACGGCUAACUACGUG